GAUGAACGCUGGCGGCGUGCCUAAUACAUGCAAGUCGAGCGAACAGAUAAGGAGCUUGCUCCUUUGACGUUAACGGCGGACGGGUGAGUAACACGUGGGUAACCUACCUAUAAGACUGGAAUAACUCCGGGAAACCGGGGCUAAUGCCGGAUAACAUUUAGAACCGCAUGGUUCUAAAGUGAAAGAUGGUUUUGCUAUCACUUAUAGAUGGACCCGCGCCGUAUUAGCUAGUUGGUAAGGUAACGGCUUACCAAGGCAACGAUACGUAGCCGACCUGAGAGGGUGAUCGGCCACACUGGAACUGAGACACGGUCCAGACUCCUACGGGAGGCAGCAGUAGGGAAUCUUCCGCAAUGGGCGAAAGCCUGACGGAGCAACGCCGCGUGAGUGAUGAAGGUCUUCGGAUCGUAAAACUCUGUUAUUAGGGAAGAACAAAUGUGUAAGUAACUGUGCACGUCUUGACGGUACCUAAUCAGAAAGCCACGGCUAACUACGUG
rnacentral:rRNA from 1 species